rnacentral:rRNA from 1 species
ACGGACGAGAAGCUUGCUUCUCUGAUGUUAGCGGCGGACGGGUGAGUAACACGUGGAUAACCUACCUAUAAGACUGGGAUAACUUCGGGAAACCGGAGCUAAUACCGGAUAAUAUUUUGAACCGCAUGGUUCAAAAGUGAAAGACGGUCUUGCUGUCACUUAUAGAUGGAUCCGCGCUGCAUUAGCUAGUUGGUAAGGUAACGGCUUACCAAGGCAACGAUGCAUAGCCGACCUGAGAGGGUGAUCGGCCACACUGGAACUGAGACACGGUCCAGACUCCUACGGGAGGCAGCAGUAGGGAAUCUUCCGCAAUGGGCGAAAGCCUGACGGAGCAACGCCGCGUGAGUGAUGAAGGUCUUCGGAUCGUAAAACUCUGUUAUUAGGGAAGAACAUAUGUGUAAGUAACUGUGCGCAUCUUGACGGUACCUAAUCAGAAAGCCACGGCUAACUACGUGCCAGCAGCCGCGGUAAUACGUAGGUGGCAAGCGUUAUCCGGAAUUAUUGGGCGUAAAGCGCGCGUAGGCGGUUUUUUAAGUCUGAUGUGAAAGCCCACGGCUCAACCGUGGAGGGUCAUUGGAAACUGGAAAACUUGAGUGCAGAAGAGGAAAGUGGAAUUCCAUGUGUAGCGGUGAAAUGCGCAGAGAUAUGGAGGAACACCAGUGGCGAAGGCGACUUUCUGGUCUGUAACUGACGCUGAUGUGCGAAAGCGUGGGGAUCAAACAGGAUUAGAUACCCUGGUAGUCCACGCCGUAAACGAUGAGUGCUAAGUGUUAGGGGGUUUCCGCCCCUUA